rnacentral:lncRNA from 1 species
CGUGGGUUAGCGCGCGCCCCCAGCAUACAGUGCGCAGCCUGUCGGGUUUUUGCCCGCAGAAUUUCCGGCGGCGACCCGGUCUCGGUCCUUCGUCGCCCGGAGUAUGCUGGCAGGGCCCUACCCCGGCUUGCCCGACCUGGCGUUGCCCUGGGGUCGCGGUGCGCCCUUGCUCCCCACGUCCUCCUACGGGAGCGGGCUGUGUUUGCUUUCCCCGGGGCCGCCCGAGCCUCCAGGGCUUCCCCCAGACAUUAGCGCAGGGUUCGCGGCUCCCUCGCCCGCCCCGUGCUCGCGGACAGCUGCAAGCCGGCCCCGGUACCGCCCUGUGCUAUGUUUCCCAUUUGUGUUUUCCUUUAACUUUUAAUUGGGUCAUUUACCCUAGUGGGUUUUUACUGGAUUUGGUCAAAAUUGGUUCAGAUGAAGGGGUUUUUUUUUCCUUUCUCCAGACCCCGACUGCUUGAGAAGCGUUAGUGUGUACAAUUCCUAGGAAACCUUUCUUUAAUACCUGCUAAUACCAAGUUAGACUGUGCAGUUAUGGCAAGAUAUUAAUGAUCAAGAAUAGGAAAAAACAACCUCACACUCUGGAGGCAGCAAACAUAGACCAUGACCACACACCACCCCCAUCUUUUUAUAUGAACUUGUUCUGUGACUUGAACUACCAGGGCUAUCACCGUCUUGCAGCCGGUGUCGGUGACAGAGUGGGGAACGCCUGGGACGCAGAGCACACGUGUUUCACAAAACAUCCUUUGUACUGCUCUGCAUCUGUCCUGAAGCCACUGUUCUGUACAGGAGAAGAAAACCUCACAUCCUCUGAUCAGUGUCUCUGACACAGGCAGACCCCAGGGAACGUUCUUUAUAGUUGAUCUAACAAAACACAUCACCUCUACCUUGAGUCCGGAUUCCUUUUGCCUGUAGACCAAUAGGACCACAACCUGUGUCCGUAAAACUGUGGUAGACAUUGAAAUUAGUUGUUUUUUAAAUGAAAGCUUCAUAAUUUUAGAAGAAGGAAGCUAAAUUCAAACAUCCUGGAACCUGAAAGCCAACACCCUUGCUUCUGCCUUUUGUUUCAAAUUAAAUUUGCAUGUUCACAGAGCACCAAGCUGCCUCAACACAAGAGCAGUUCCUUGCCCAGGAGAGCCUUCCACCUACCCAUGCUCCUGUAAAAUAUGGAGCAUCAUAGCCAGAAGAAAAAAUAAUUCAACAUCCUUCUUGCCAUUAGACAACUUUGAGGUAAAUGGACUGUGCUGUCACCUAUCUGAGCCUAAUUUGCACAAAGUGAACUUUUCCCAACCAGGAGAUCUUACACCACCUUCAGCUCUCCUGUGAAAUACAAAUUUCCCUUUCCACCUAGAAGAAAUUUUACAAUUUUAGCAUUCUAUGCCUGAAUAAGGGUGAGUGUGCCUGAAAGCUUACAAAUAAAGACUUUUUUGAAAACA